rnacentral:rRNA from 1 species
AUACGUAGGUGGCGAGCGUUGUCCGGAAUUACUGGGCGUAAAGGGUGCGCAGGCGGUAAUAUAAGUGGGAUGUGAAAACCCAAGGCUCAACCAUGGGAGUGCAUUCCAAACUGUAUUGCUAGAGUGCAGGAGAGGGAAGCGGAAUUCCUGGUGUAGCGGUGAAAUGCGUAGAUAUCAGGAAGAACACCAGUGGCGAAGGCGGCUUUCUGGACUGUAGCUGACGCUGAGGCACGAAAGCGUGGGGAGCAAACAGGAUUAGAUACCCUGGUAGUCCACGCUGUAAACGAUGAGUGUUAGGUGUAGGGGGCUUGAAGCUUUCUGUGCCGCAGUAAACGCAAUAAACACUCCGCCUGGGGAGUACGGUCGCAAGACUAAA